rnacentral:rRNA from 1 species
CACGUAGGGGGCAAGCGUUGUCCGGAUUUAUUGGGCGUAAAGAGCUCGUAGGCGGCUCAGUAAGUCAGGUGUGAAACCUCCAGGCUCAACCUGGAGACGCCACCUGAUACUGCUGUGGCUAGAGUCCGGUAGGGGAGCGUGGAAUUCCUGGUGUAGCGGUGAAAUGCGCAGAUAUCAGGAGGAACACCAACGGCGAAGGCAGCUCGCUGGGACGUCACUGACGCUGAGACGCGAAAGCGUGGGGAGCAAACAGG